GACGAACCGUCCAAACGUUAUUCGGAAUCACUGGGCUUACAGAGUUCGUAGGCGGUCUGGAAAGUUGGGUGUGAAAUCCCUCGGCCUAACCGAGGAACUGCGCUUGAAACUACCAGACUCGAGGGAGAUAGAGGAAAGCGGAACUGAUGGUGGAGCGGUGAAAUGCGUUGAUAUCAUCAGGAACACCGGUGGCGAAGGCGCUUCUGGGUCUUACCUGACGCUGAGGAACGAAAGCCAGGGGAGCGAACGGGAUUAGAAACC
rnacentral:rRNA from 1 species